AGUGGCGGACGGGUGAGUAACACGUAAGAAUUUGCCUUUAGGAGGGGGGAUUAAUACCCCAUAUGCUUUCGAGUGAAAUGGAUUUUUCCGCCUAGAGAGAAGCUUGCGGCUGAUUAGCUUGUUGGUGAGGCAAUGGCUUACCAAGGCGACGAUCAGUAUCUGGUUUGAGAGGACGAUCAGACACACUGGAACUGAGACACGGUCCAGACUCCUACGGGAGGCAGCAGUGGGGAAUUUUCCGCAAUGGGCGAAAGCCUGACGGAGCAAUCUCGCGUGAGGGAUGACUGCCUAUGGGUUGUAAACCUCUUUUUUCAGGGAGGAAUCAAUGACGUGUACCUGAAGAAUAAGCAUCGGCUAACUCCGUGCCAGCAGCCGCGGUAAGUUGGUUGAUGCAAGUGUUAUCCGGAAUCACUGGGCGUAAAGCGUCUGUAGGUGGUUUAAUAAGUCAACUGUUAAAUCUUGAAGCUCAACUUCAAAAUCGCAGUCGAAACUAUUAGACUAGAGUAUAGUAGGGGUAAAGGGAAUUUCCAGUGGAGCGGUGAAAUGCGUAGAGAUUGGAAAGAACACCGAUGGCGAAGGCACUUUACUGGGCUAUUACCGACACUCAGAGACGAAAGCUAGGGUAGCAAAUGGGAUUAGAUACCCCAGUAGUCCUAGCCGUAAACAAUGGAUACUAGAUGUUGAACAGAUUGACCUGUGC
rnacentral:rRNA from 1 species